UAUAUUUGAAAACCCUAACCCACGCUCUGCCUUAUCCUUCCUCCAAAACGUAGACCCAGGCUCUACCGUUCCUCUCUUUUCUCUAUUCUCUACUUUCUCCUUCCCUAAAACCCAACACUGAAAAUCAAUCCUGCCAAGAAGCCACCCCCACACUGUCAGGUCCGAGAUAGAAAGAAGGCAUCACCAAACAAACCACUGUCCUAGCCGUGGCAGAGGGUAUGGCUACUGUGUAUGACUCCCUUGGUUCUUAAUUUUGGUUCAUAAUUGGAUUGCUUAGGUGUUUCAAGUUAGAGUGAGUUUGGUAAAGGAUGUGCAAAAGCAAGAGGCAUGGUGGGAAAGACAACAUGAACUUGCAGCUGAGAAUUUGGGGUUUUGCUGAAGGAGCUUACAGGUAUUGAUAUAAAUUUCAUGUAAAAUUGUGAGUGGUGUUAAUGCAUUCACUUAAAAGUGAUUGUCUAUUCAUUACUAUUAGAAAUAAUUCUUGUUGUUGGCUGGGUCAUGUAAUUAAUUGGAUGUGGACAUAAAAGAAAUCCAUUUAUGAAUGAGGAGGAGGAGGAAUACAUGUUGUGUACACACCUUUUUUAAGGGUUUAAUUCAUUCAACUGACUACCUACUAUUGUAGUUUACUUUUAAUUCUUUUUU